AAGUUCCCGAAAAUAACCUUCCUUCCUCUCUUCCUGUCUCCUUCCCUGUCUCUCCGUUUCUUGUUUCUUCCUGCGUCUGCUCCCGACUGCCUCUCUCUCUUCGAACCGACUCUGCAAGCAAUCUCACCAGCAGGAUUAUGCAAAUACCUUUGGCGCUUAUUAAUUAUCUCCCGCCCCUCUAGAGUUCGUUAACUGCAGGGGUUCACUCGCACUCUGCAUAAUUAUGCAAAGCCCCAGAGCCCAAGAGGGUUCAUGUUCCUCUCUCCUGUCAGGGCCUUCAAAGGGGAACUAUCUGGAGAGGCUGGAGAGAGUUCAAGACUGGUAGAAUGGGAUCGGUUGUUUAAUGAUCGAAGUGUUGACCCUGCGUGAGCCGGCCCGAAACGGUUGGCGGGAUCCAGGGAUUGCAGAAAUGUGAUCCAAAGACAGGCACAGAUAAGCAUCUGCAGCAUCCGGGUGUAACCCAAGUCACAGCGGGGAUUUCUGGCUUCCAAAGCGACCCGCAGAGUUUUAUCCCAAAAGGCGGACGCUCCAGACAGGAAUCUCACAGGCAGCGCUAAAGAGCAUUAUGGGUCGGAAACCCGCUCUGAAGGCAAACAAACAGCUACAUUGUGUUCCUGAUGGAUGAACAGUGAGAUUCAUUCUCCUCGUAAGACAAACGUCACAGGCUUUUCAGGUUUCUCUUUUGCUUUUUUUUUUACAGAUUUCUAUGUAAGGGAGUCUGAUCAAAGCUGUCAGAUUAUCAAACAACAUAUUUCAGCCUGAAGGCUAGUUUCUGAAGUGUGUUCUCAAGCACUAAAGCAAUGUAGGGAAGAAUGAAAGUGAGACUCUGAGUGUGUGUGUGUGUGUGUGUGUGUGUGUGUGUGUUUGUGUGUUUUAUGAAAGUUAGGUUGAUCGCAAGGACGCCUCAACUGAGGGCUUUCCACAGAGUAUUCCAACAGCAGUACAGCAGCAAGUGAAAUGUCACAGUCACUUCCUUAUCUCUGAAAAAAUAAGAAAUCACUUCAUUCGUUCAUCCAGAAACAAUGCCAUUAAGUGCUGGGGAGCGAUGCGUGCUCCAACACUAUCCCGAGAGAUGGGCAUACACUGCAAGUUAAUGUCGGGGGCUGUGAUUUGGAGUGCAUCGAGACGGCAUUAAUUCUGGAACAACUUGUGUGUGAAAUAGGCGGCUCAGUGUGAAAAGGGGAAAAGGUUAAACGCUCGGAUGAGUAACGCUCUCCUGCCGAUCUGCAAGAUGCCAUGACGGUUCAUCGUCACCUGGCUAAUAAGAGUGACAGAGGGGGAGCCUGAAGGGGGAACACACACACACACACACACACACACACACACAGUCAUGCCAAACACACACGUGCACAGAAAGCUUUUGGUUC
ensembl:lncRNA